GGGGUCAUAGCUUAAUUGGUAAAGCGCCACACUGUCAAUGUGGAAGAUGGGAGUUCAAAUCUCCUUGGUCCCGCCA
rnacentral:tRNA from 1 species